AUUGAACGCUGGCGGCAGGCCUAACACAUGCAAGUCGAGCGCGCGGCGGACGGGUGAGUAAUGUAUGGGGACUGCCCGAUAGAGGGGGAUAACUACUGGAAACGGUGGCUAAUACCGCAUACUAUCGGAUAACCCAUAUGGGAUUAGCUAGUAGGUGGGGUAACGGCUCACCUAGGCGACGAACGUUAGCUGGUCUGAGAGGAGGAUCAGCCACACUGGGACGUAGACACGGCCCUGACUCCUACGGAGGCAGCAGUAUGGAAUAUUGCUCGAUGGGCGCAAGCCUUAGGCAGCCAUGCCGCGUGUAUGAAGAAGGCCUUAGGGUUGUAAAGUACUUUCAGCGGGGAGGCGUUGCCCGCAGAAGAAGCACCGGCUAACUCCGUGCCAGCCGCCUCGGUAAUUC
rnacentral:rRNA from 1 species